CCUACGGGGGGCAGCAGUGAGGAAUAUUGCACAAUGGGCGAAACCCUGAUGCAGCGACGCCGCGUGAAGGAAGAAGUAUUUCAGUAUGUAAACUUCUAUCAGCAGGGAAGAAAAUGACGGUACCUGACUAAGAAGCACCGGCUAAAUACGGGCCAGCAGCCGCGGUAAUACGGAGGGGGCAAGCGUUAUCCGGAUUUACUGGGUGUAAAGGGAGCGUAGGCGGCGAUGCAAGUCAGAAGUGAAUGCCCGGGGCUCCACCCCGGGACUGCCUUUGAAACUGUGUUGCUAGAUUGGAGGAGAGGUAAGUGGAAUGCCUAGUGUAGCGGUGAAAUGCGUAGAUAUUAGGAGGAACACCAGUGGCGAAGGCGGCUUACUGGA
rnacentral:rRNA from 1 species